UCUAUUUUUUGAAAAGUAGCGCGCUCAGACCAGCUCGCUCACUCUUUUCCUCUUCCAUUUUUUAGGGCAAUUGUUUUGUUUGAUAGACGAAGCUUAGGGUCUCUUUGGGUUUGCAACCCUUACCCUCCUGGAAAAAAUCAUAGUUGCUAGACUGCGACACUUCAGACCAGGUACUAUUAGAGCCGCUAAUGGACGACGAGCUAUUUUCCGCUAUCCGGAGCUCAAGCAUUUGAGCAGCUAAAUGGACGAGACUCCUGGGGUAAAGGAUGCAGAGAAUGAGGAGAAAACACUCGUAUGGAGCAGGGAGUAGGUAUUGUACUACUUCCUGGUAUGGAGCACUGAGAAGCGCAAUGUGCAACAGAAAUUACCAUGGUGAUACAGUAGAUUACCGUGUGAAGCGGUGUGAGAUGCAGCAAAGCAUUAGGCGAUUUGAUCGCAGGACAAGAGAGGAGCUGAUGGACGAUCUCUCCAGUGUCCCUCUUGGUUCGGAGCAGCGCCGAGUGCUGACGUUGGGACUUGGAGUUCUAGCAUCCGUAGCUGCCUCAGGGGGUGCCACUUCUUCCAUCAGCGUCGACUAGUCCGCCGAUCUCACUCAGCUCUGCUCUCCGAGCAUUCUGCUUCCAACACGACUUCCCGAAAGAAAAUGUGCUCGCGCAUUAGAAGGAGGUGAAAGAUGCACCUGCAGGAGAAUACAUGCUUAAGAGAAGGCAGAAACAUGCCCGGAUCCACCAGAACUAGUGCUGGCAAGUCAACAGAGGCGAGUACUGAUAAUGUUCCAGAUUGUGGUAGGAUCACAUAAGCAAAAUU